UACGUAGGGGGCAAGCGUUGUCCGGAUUUAUUGGGCGUAAAGAGCGUGUAGGCGGCUUUGCAAGUCCGUUGUGAAAACUCGAGGCUCAACCUCGAGACGCCGGUGGAAACUGCAAAGCUAGAGUCCGGAAGAGGAGAGUGGAAUUCCUGGUGUAGCGGUGAAAUGCGCAGAUAUCAGGAAGAACACCCGUGGCGAAGGCGGUUCUCUGGGACGGUACUGACGCUGAGACGCGAAAGCGUGGGGAGCAAACAGG
rnacentral:rRNA from 1 species